rnacentral:rRNA from 1 species
CAGUUCGGAUUGGAGUCUGCAACUCGACUCCAUGAAGCUGGAUUCGCUAGUAAUCGCGCAUCAGCCACGGCGCGGUGAAUACGUUCCCGGGCCUUGUACACACCGCCCGUCAAGCCAUGGAAGCCGGGGGUGCCUGAAGUGCGUGAGCGCAAGCAGCGCCCUAAGGUAAAACCGGUGACUGGGGCUAAGUCGUAACAAGGUAUC